AUGAGUCAUCACAGGAUUAUGGAUUGGGUAAAAUUAGAAAAAAUCAAAAUCUUAACACUGGAAGGUUACGACCUAAGAAAAGGUUGGCACAGCUACUUAUGGUGUGACCAAUUUAAAACUGAAAAAAACUUCGGAAAUCACUUCAUUAGAUCAUCCCUAAUCAAAACAUGGAUAAAAUACAAAAGAUAUUUUUAUGGGAAAACCCCACUCUGGUUUUCACCCUUAGAAGCACAUCAAAGAAGACUUCUUGGUUGGAAUAACUGGCCGACAUAUAGGGAAAUCCUAAAGAAACCCCUUAGAACAGAAGAAACACCUCAAAUUGAGGAAUUAAAGGAACUCCAAAAAGGAUAUAACAACGUAUCUUGGUAUCAGUAUUUACAGGUAAAGGAGAGUUUUAAAAAAGAUAAAGAAGUAGGGUUUAAUAUGUGUAAUGGAUUCUGGGACAACAUACUUUUAAGGAAAAAAAAAGUCAUAACACUACUAUAUAAUAAAUUAUUAGAUUGGGCAACAGAAGCUGAAGUAGUCAAAGAAUCAAUGCUAAAAUGGUCAAGGGAUGUAGGUCGACCGAUCUUAAUGGAUGAAUGGGAAACAAUCUGGAAUAAGAAAAUUAAAUACUGCCUAGCAACUGAUCUCAAAGAAAAUUGGCUAAAAACAAUACAUAGGUGGUACCUAACACCAAAAAAAAUAGGGUAUAUGUUCCAGAAUAUAGACAAUAGAUGCUGGAGAUGCAAAGAACAAGUCAGCUCAUACCAUCAUAUGUGGUGGAGCUGUAAGAAUAUUAAAAAAUAUUGGAAAGUAAUUAGAGAGGAAUGUGGAAAAAUUUUAAAAACCAAAUUUGAAUGUAAGCCAGAAAUAUUUCUAUUAGGACUAUCCCCUAUAUUAGAUAACAAGAGGAAAGAUACAAAGGAAAAUAGGAACAAUGCUGAGAAAAUCUUCACAUUUUUAGUAACCGCAGCUAGAUUAGUAAUAGCGAGAUAUUGGAAAGGAACAAUUAUCCCAACUAAAGAAAUGUGGCUGGAAAAAGUAACAGAGAUUAAGACUAUGGAUAAAUUGACCUAUAUGGUUAAAAAGAAUACCGGACGCGCCAUGAAGGAAACGGAUUGGUCAGACUUUGAAAAGUACCUACAAGAAGAAUUAAGAAGGUGAUGAAUAAACAGACUGAACAGGAAGACAGAAGAGUGGAAGUCUACCCCCCCCCUCCCUAGUUAGAUAACCUUUCCCAGCUCUUUUCCUCUCCCUUCUUCCCUGACAACCCUCCCCAUAUCCACCCCAUCGUCUCGAUGAGACUCCUAUCCCCACCCUAUACCCUCCCCACCCAUAUCAACCCUAUUCUUUCCCUUUAGUUCCCAACUGAAUGUACUAAAAUUCAAUAAAAAAAUUUUUUUAAAAAAUAUUCUCAGCCCUUCAUUUUCCUCAGUCAGAUACUACUUUUCUUCUCAAGCCCAAUAUGAU
rnacentral:lncRNA from 1 species